rnacentral:rRNA from 1 species
UACGUAGGGUGCGAGCGUUAAUCGGAAUUACUGGGCGUAAAGCGUGCGCAGGCGGCUUUGCAAGACAGAUGUGAAAUCCCCGGGCUCAACCUGGGAACUGCAUUUGUGACUGCAAGGCUAGAGUACGGCAGGGGGGGAUGGAAUUCCGCGUGUAGCAGUGAAAUGCGUAGAUAUGCGGAGGAACACCAAUGGCGAAGACAAUCCCCUGGGCCUGUACU